GAGUUUGAUCUUGGCUCAGAUUGAACGCUGGCGGCAUGCCUUACACAUGCAAGUCGAACGGUAACAGGUCUUCGGAUGCUGACGAGUGGCGAACGGGUGAGUAAUACAUCGGAACGUGCCCAGACGUGGGGGGAUAACGAGGCGAAAGCUUUGCUAAUACCGCAUACGAUCUAAGGAUGAAAGCAGGGGACCGCAAGGCCUUGCGCGUUUGGAGCGGCCGAUGGCAGAUUAGGUAGUUGGUGGGAUAAAAGCUUACCAAGCCGACGAUCUGUAGCUGGUCUGAGAGGACGACCAGCCACACUGGGGCUGAGACACGGCCCAGACUCCUACGGGAGGCAGCAGUGGGGAAUUUUGGACAAUGGGCGAAAGCCUGAUCCAGCAAUGCCGCGUGCAGGAUGAAGGCCUUC
rnacentral:rRNA from 1 species